rnacentral:rRNA from 1 species
GACAGAGGAGCCAAGCGUUGUCCGGAUUGACUGGGCGUAAAGCGCACGCAGGCGGUUGCGCGCGGGGGGGGUGAAAACUGGCCGCUUAACGGCCAGAGGCCAUCCCAUACGGCGCGACUUGAGCCCGUGAGAGGUCCAUGGAAUUGCCGGUGUAGUGGUGAAAUACGUAGAGAUUGGGAAGAACACCAGUGGCGAAGGCGGCUAUCUGGACGGUCUCUGACACUAAGACUCGAAAGCGUGGGGAGCAAACAGG